UGCCAGCCGCCGCGGUAAUACGGAGGGUGCAAGCGUUGUUCGGAAUUAUUGGGCGUAAAGCGUGCGUAGGCGGACUGUUAAGUCUGAUGUGAAAUCCCGCGGCUCAACCGCGGACGUGCAUUGGAUACUGGCAGUCUUGAGUCCUGGAGAGGAGAGCGGAAUUCCUAGUGUAGAGGUGAAAUUCGUAGAUAUUAGGAGGAACACCAGCGGCGAAAGCGGCUCUCUGGACAGUGACUGACGCUGAGGCACGAAAGCAUAGGUAGCAAACAGGAUUAGAUA
rnacentral:rRNA from 1 species